CCCCGCAGAAAAGGGCCAGAAGGUCCGCACCGGGUGGGGCGGGGAGAUCCGGCCGGAGCGGGCUUCCCGGAGCAGGAAGAGCUUUACCAGCCUGAGGAGGGAAGCAGGAUGAGGGCAGGCUUCCCAGGAGGUGACUUUUUAACUGUCCUGCAAAAUGAGAUCUUAGUUCCCCGACCAGGGAUCAAACCUGUGCCCACUGCAGUGGAAGCACAGGGUCUUAACCACUGGACCACCAGGGAAGUCCUAGGAAGUGAUGUAUGCAACACCAGGUGCAGUAGCAGCCAUCUUGCAAACAAGAGGGAAAAGCCAAGAAAUUGCAGAGUUGUGAACCCUGACAUCACUGGCCUGUCCUGAGCCAGGCCUGGCUAUAUCCCCACCACAGGGGAGGGAACUGCUGCUCAGAGAAGCAAAGCAGCCUGUCCAGCCCUACGGCUACAGGAGGUGCGGCAGGAGAUUUGAACUCAGGUAGAAGCUGUCCAGCCCAGGAUGGACUCUGGCUCCUCCACCUGUCCCUCUUGGGGCCUCAGUCUCCGUGUGAAAUGGGGCGCGCCGGGAGCCUGCCGUUCUGUGGUCCCGGUGGGGGCGGAGAUGUACCAGCGCGAGGAGCUGGCCUCUGCUGGCCCAGCAGGCCAGGGGUCAGCCAGGCAACCACCGCCCCUUCCACCUCCAUGUCUGGUCCCUCCCCGCU